UGGGGAAUUUCGGACAAUGGGCGCAAGCCUGAUCCAGCAAUGCCGCGUGCAGGAUGAAGGCCUUCGGGUUGUAAACUGCUUUUGUACGGAACGAAAAAGCUCUCUCUAAUACAGGGGGUGAAUGACGGUACCGUAAGAAUAAGCACCGGCUAACUACGUGCCAGCAGCCGCGGUAAUACGUAGGGUGCAAGCGUUAAUCGGAAUUACUGGGCGUAAAGCGUGCGCAGGCGGUUUUGUAAGACAGAUGUGAAAUCCCCGGGCUUAACCUGGGAACUGCGUUUGUGACUGCAAGGCUGGAGUACGGCAGAGGGGGGUGGAAUUCCACGUGUAGCAGUGAAAUGCGUAGAGAUGUGGAGGAACACCGAUGGCGAAGGCAGCCCCCUGGGCCUGUACUGACGCUCAUGCACGAAAGCGUGGGGAGCAAACA
rnacentral:rRNA from 1 species